UACGGGGGGGGCAAGCGUUGUUCGGAAUUACUGGGCGUAAAGGGCUCGUAGGUGGCCAACUAAGUCAGACGUGAAAUCCCUCAGCUUAACUGGGGAACUGCGUCUGAUACUGGAUGGCUUGAGUUUGGGAGAGGGAUGCGGAAUUCCAGGUGUAGCGGUGAAAUGCGUAGAUAUCUGGAGGAACACCGGUGGCGAAGGCGGCAUCCUGGACCAACACCUGACACUGAGGCACGAAAGCUAGGGGAGCAAACAGG
rnacentral:rRNA from 1 species